GACGAACGCUGGCGGCGUGCUUAACACAUGCAAGUCGAACGGAAAGGCUCUGCUUGCAGGGUACUCGAGUGGCGAACGGGUGAGUAACACGUGGGUGAUCUGCCCUGCACUUCGGGAUAAGCCUUGGAAACUGGGUCUAAUACCUGAUAGCAGCCAUUUUUUGUGUGAUGGUUUGAAAGUUUUUUCGGUGUAGGAUGAGCUCGCGGCCUAUCAGCUUGUUGGUGAGGUAAUGGCCUACCAAGGCGGCGACGGGUAGCCGGCCUGAGAGGGUGGACGGCCACAUUGGGCCUGAGAUACGGCCCAGACGCCUACGGGAGGCAGUAGGGGGGAAUAUUGCACAAUGGGCGCAAGCCUGAUGCAGAGACGCCGCGGGGGGGAGGACGGGCUUCGGGUUGUAAACUCGUUUCGCUAGGGAAGAAGCUUUUUGUGACGGUACCUAGAUAAGAAGCACCGGCUAACUACGUG
rnacentral:rRNA from 1 species